rnacentral:ncRNA from 1 species
CGACCCCAUCUUAGGCGAGAACACCCGCUGAGUUUAAGCAUAUAAUUAAGCGGAGGAAAAGAAACUUACAAGGAUUCCCCUAGUAAC